GCAGCCGCGGUAAUACGUAGGUGGCAAGCGUUAUCCGGAUUUACUGGGUGUAAAGGGUGUGUAGGCGGGAAAGCAAGUCAGAUGUGAAAAUUAUGGGCUCAACUCAUAACCUGCGUCUGAAACUACUUUUCUUGAGAGUCGGAGAGGUAAACGGAAUUCCUGGUGUAGCGGUGAAAUGCGUAGAUAUCAGGAGGAACACCGGUGGCGAAGGCGGUUUACUGGACGACAACUGACGCUGAGACACGAAAGUGUGGGGAGCAAACAGGAUUAGAUACCCC
rnacentral:rRNA from 1 species